AGAACGAACGCUGGCGGCAUGCCUAACACAUGCAAGUCGAACGAGACCUUCGGGUCUAGUGGCGCACGGGUGCGUAACGCGUGGGAAUCUGCCCUUGGGUUCGGAAUAACAGCGAGAAAUUGCUGCUAAUACCGGAUGAUGACGUAAGUCCAAAGAUUUAUCCGGCCCAAGGAUGAGCCCGCGUAGGAUUAGCUUGUUGGUGAGGUAAGAGCUCACCAAGGCGACGAUACCUUAGCUGGUCUGAGAGGAUGAUCAGCCACGACUAGGGACCUGACGACCGACGGCCCAGGACUCCGUACGGGAGCAGCGAGUAGGGAAUAUGGACGAAGUGGGACGUAAAGCCGUAGAGUACCGAGCGAAA
rnacentral:rRNA from 1 species